UCUGGUUAGAGAGAGAACAACCAACUGUACAAAAUACUGCAAAUUUUUAAAGUCUUCUCUACUCUCUACUUCUCUGUUUCUCUCUUCUUCUUCUUCUUCACUCAUUAUUAGUUUGUGUGUGCCUUAUAAAUAAAAAUAAAAUAUGGAAAUGGCGAACGUGCCAUCAAGUUCACCUCCGACACCAACCUCGCCGCCGUCGGCCUCCAAUUCGGAGAACUCCGCCACCAGCCCCACCACUUCUCUCACUCCACCUAACCCACUUCACCUUCAGGUUGUCGACGAAGGACCAACCCCGAACAAUGGAUCUCUCAAUGUCGACGACAAAAAGCCUGACUUUCCACACCAACACUUCAAGUUUCUUGACAGCACAGACUACAUUGAGAAGUUCAAGAAAUAUGAAGCUGACUACACUUUCCGGUUGAUGGCAAAAUAUUUCUCUAAGAAGAAUCUAUAUGGAGGUAAGCAGUAAUUGAUGUAACUUUGAAUUUUAUAAUAGGGGUUAUUUUAUUUGUCUCUUAAAAAAUAAAAUAAAAAAUAAAAAAAUCUUUUGUGCCCUGCAUAGCCUUGGACAAUUUGGUUUCUCAUUUUCGUACUUAAUUGAGUGGAAAUUUGGCAAUUGAUUUUCUUUAUUCUCAGUUCUCUCCCUCAUUCAGAGAAAAGAUUUUGUGGGUGGUCAGUUUUCUUAUCAACUUAUAUAAAUUCUUCAAUAAUGUAAUUUUCAGUUACUGUCAUCAGCCAAAAAAUUUAUGAUUUCAACUCUCUCUCUCUCUCUCUGGUGUGUUCUUUUUAUGUAAUAAUACCUUUGUCCUAGGGUACGUUUUAAUCUUUUAUACUUAUUACCAUCUUUAUCCACUAGGAAUUUGAGAUUGCUUUUUUUGACUUGCUUUUUUUUGAACCAUUUUGUACUUACCAUCAUUUGGUCACAUUUUUAUUUAUUUAUGAAUCUGUGUCAAAAUCGUAUCAUUGUGGAGCAAACCAUAAAAUGUAUUUGCAUUUCUUUCCUUCUGUUGGCUUGUGCACCUCUCAUGUAGGCUCUCAAGGUAUAAUUGCCGAAAUCCUAUUUAGUGUACAUGUUGUCUAAUAGAUUUUAAGCCCAAUGAAAACUCUUUGUAUUCUAGUCAUAUCUCAAGCAAGUUCAGGAUCUUCCUGAUAGCCAUUUACUUUUGCACUUCUUUCAUAUUUUCUUUCUUGUUGCCUGCAAGGUAAAGGAUUUGUAGAUUGAUGUCAUGUAUGAAGUGGUGACUGUGCAACAUAUUUGAUGGGAACAUGAAAAUAGAUGAUGAGGUCAUAAAGUCAAGCAGGUGGCCUUGUACCCGAUCAUAUGCAAACCCAGUGCAGGGUUUUGAAGACCAAAGCAGCAGUAUUCCAGCUUAUUCAGAUGAAACUCCAACUGAUAUAUCAAACGGGAAGCACCCAGUAAGAAAGACUAGCUGAAGACAUUUGCUACCUUAACCAUACUCUUAGACCUACCUGUAUGGUACGUGGUACCGUAUAUUAUUUAUGAUGUAGACAAUCAGGUUACUGGGUGAAAUGAACCACAACUUCACGUAACCUCCCAUUUAGUGUAAGAAAUGUCCACGGUUCAGAAUUUACAAUUUAUCAACGCUAUUGGAUCCGGAAACAUACAAUUUAUCAA